AAUAUAAACAAAAUAGAUACAAAAUACAGUGUUCCUAUACAAAAUAUAUGCUAAAUUGACUGUUACUAUAAAAGUAAUAUACAAAAUAUAUUGUCAUUAUACAAAAUAGACUGUCACUAUACAACAAAUAUGCAAAAUAGACUGUCACUAUAUAAAAAUAUACAAAAUAGACUGUCACUAUAUAAAAAAAUAUAGAAAAUAGCCGUUACAGUCUAUUAGAUGUAAUAUGUUUGGGCCGAACGAUCAUUUGUGCAAGUGAUAAAAAAAUAUGGCUAUUAAAAUUUUGAUGGGCUAUAAAGGCUAAUUUUCUCAAAAAAUUAAGCAUGAAUGUAAAAAAUCUUAUUCUUAGCCAGGGUAUCUCGAAACACUUCAACAAAUGAGUCUAAAACUCAAACGGUGGUCAGUAACCUUUUCACUAAAUACAUAACUUCAUUCUAACGCUCAGAUAAACCUGAUGUUUCUUUUUCAAUUAUAUGUCCAAAGUUCACUUAAUUAAUUUUAAACCAUAUUCAAAAGACAAGUAAGAUGAAACAUUGUGUAGACAAAAUGAAACUCCUUAGACUAAUGCAUCGAGGCCUGAUACUUCAUAUAAAAUUCAUUUAUUAAUAAAGUAUGUAUUUUAACAUAGCUAUUAAAGAACAAGAAAGCUGAAGCUCUUUUUUAAUUCCGUUCCUUUUAUAUGUUUAUCAAUGAAUUAACUUAAAAUUUAUAACUAAGAUACAUAGACAAUUAAAUAUAAACAAACAAACAAACAGACAGAUUCAAUCUAAGGAUGCAAAGUUGAACAUUUGUUCAUUUUUAUGAUAAUAAAUGAAAUGACAAAAAUCACAUCUUCAUUGUCUAUUGUAGAAAAAAAUAACUCUAGAAGUUUGAGAUAAUUACCUAGUUGCAGAAUCUCAGCAGCUAAAUGACCCCUGAGUACUUAGAAACAAUGAACGCAACAUAAAUAAGAACCCAGCAACAGCAACUCCAAAAGGACAAUAGAAAAUAACAGUAACAGAAAUCAAGAAUACCCCCGAACAACCCAGUAAGAAAACACUUGAACUAGCAACUAGCAACACCAGAAAUUACUUAAGAGAUCUUUUUAUCUUUUCAAAGAUUUUGCGCACAAACAAUACUUAUAAAAGCUCUGAAAUUUCAGUUUUCCAUAUGUGCACAACUGUUGAUUUCUUUAAGAUAUAUGCCCUUUUUCGAGUGUAAACGAUGAUCUUUAUGUGAGGAAAGACCUCUUUCUUUAUAGGAAAGGAAGUAGAUUGAAUUAUUUGAUUGAAUCUGUCCAAAGGACGAAUUUUUCACCUAAAAUCUAUUCCAACUAUCCAAAAAACAAAUUUUCACCAACUAUGAACCUCUGAAAUUUCAGUUUUCCAUAUGUGCACAACUGUUGAUUUCUUUAAGAUAUAUGCCCUUUUUCGAGUGUAAACGAUGAUCUUUAUGUGAGGAAAGACCUCUUUCUUUAUAGGAAAGGAAGUAGAUUGAAUUAUUUGAUUGAAUCUGUCCAAAGGACGAAUUUUUCACCUAAAAUCUAUUCCAACUAUCCAAAAGACAAAUUUUCACCAACUAUGAACAGUGCUAGGAGCAUUGUACUCUAAACAAUAUUUAAAUAGUAAAAAGUAGCCAAACAAGUACCCUACAACCAAAUAUUCAGCAUUUAUCAUGACUGAAAUUCAAGCUAAUACACUCAUACUCAAACCAACUAUGAAUUGGCAAAGCAAGAAAUAAGACUUCAAAUGCAAUUGAACUAAGUAUCUAAACGAACUAAACUAAAACUAAUCAAUUAACGAUAACUAACAAUGAGCUAUUGAAAUAAGAAAACACUGCCCAAAACAAAACUUAGAUGAACAAUGGAAAACUAUCGAACAACGAGUAAAAUCAACUAACUAAACGACUAACUAAGUGAAUGAUUCAAAAAACAAAGAUAACUAACCAACAAUGUAUUAUUUGAAAUUCUAAUUUGACCAAAAGAGAAAUAAAAAGCUAUUGCUAUUAAAAAUCAAAAAUCAGUGAGGGAAUGGAGGUCUUGGAUUGAUACCUACAAAAUGUGCUCAUCUUAACACCACCUCGGGGAUGAAGUACGACCACCGAACUCAAGGUUUCUUGCAAACUCAGUCAUCAUGUGCCAAAAGAUGGGUCAGUGGCUUGAUGAAGCAAGAAACAUGGGUCAUGGUAACAUAUAGAAGCGGAUAGAGGCAGUUUGGAAGCAGGUGGUGGCAGUGACAAGUGCAGAUUGUCAGUGGGGUGGCCGGAUGGAAACUUCAAUGAAGAUCGGGUCAAAAUCAAUGCCAAAUGAUAGCACUUAUUGAGCUAUAUACUUCUACGUAGGCAUUAGGUGAAGAGGGUGGCUCAAUAUUUUCAUAUUUGACAAAACAAAUGCAGUUAUGGCUUUCCUAUAUCUAAAAUUCAUGGAGUUUGAAGGAAAAUUAAAGUAUCCGAGGAUUUGAUUCACGGAGAGGGGGUUUAUAGGAAGAUAUGGUAAACUAUUAGGGUGUUUUGGACUCUGGUGGACGGUAGCGGGCGGUGGUUCCGCCAUGGAGAGGGGUGCUGGCUGAGAGAGAAGAGAGAUAGAGAUAGAGGGUGCUAGGGUUUUAGGAUAAAAAUCAUGUCUUCAUUGUCUAUUUUAGAAGAAAAUUACUCUAGAAGUUUGAGACAACUACCUAGUUGUAGAAUUACAGCAGCUAAAUGACCCCCUAAGUACUUAGAAGUAACAAACACAUCAUAAACAAGAACCCAACAAUAACAACCCCAAACGGACAGUAGAAAACAGCAAUAACAGAACUCAAGAAUACCCCCGAAAAAUCCAACAAGAAAACACUUGACCUAGCAACUAGCUUGCCAUAUGUGCACAACUGUUGAUUUCUUUUAGAUAUGUGCCUUUUUUCUUUAGUGUAAAAGAUGAUCUUUAUGUCAGGAAAGACCUCUUCCUUUAUAGGAAAGGAAGAGAUUGAAUUAUUUGAUUGAAUCUAUCUAAAGGACAGAUUUUCCACCUAACUUCUAUCCCAACUAUUCAAAGGAUAGAUUUUUGGUAAAACAUCUGUACAAAAGACAAUUUUUACCAACUAUGAACAGUGGUAGGAGUAAUGUACUAUGAACAGAUUUUAAACAGUAAAAAAUAUCCAAACAAGUACCUACACUCAAAUAUUAAGCUUUUAUCAUAACUGAACUUCAAGCUAACACACUCAUACUAAGACCAACUAUGAAUUGGCAAAGCAACAAACAAGACUUCAGAUGCAAUUGAACUAAGUAUCCAAACGAACUAAACUAAAACUAACCAAUUAACGAUAACUAACAAUGGGCGAUUGAAAUAAGGAAACACUGCCCGAAAUAAAAUUCAAAUCAACAUUGAUAAAUUUAUCGAACAAUGAAUAAAACCAACUAACUAAACAACCUACUAAGUGAACGACUGAACUAAAAGAGAUAACUAAUCAACGGUGUAUUAAUUUGAAAUCCUAAUUAGAAAAAAAUAGAAAUCGAAAGCUAUUGCUACUAAAAAUCAGAAAUUAGUGAGGGAACGAAGGUCUUGGAUUGAUACCAAAAUUCGUGACUCAAAUCUGCUCGUUUUAACACCACCCUGGGGAUGAAGUACAGCUACCGAACUCGAGGUUUCUUGAAAACUCAGUCACCAUAUGCCAAAAGACGAGUCAGUGACUUGUGGAAGCAAGAAACCUGGGGCAUGUUUGCUUAUAAAAGCGGAUAGAGGCAGUUUGGCAGCGGGUGGUGGCAGUGACAACGGUGGAUCCGUAGUGGGGUGGCUAGACAGAAACUUCGCCAAUAGAUCGGGUCAAAACCAAUUCCAAAUGAUAUCCCUUGUCGAUCUAUAUACUUCUAUGUAGGCAUUGGGUGAAGGGGGUGACUCAAUAUUCACGGAUUUGAUAAAAAAUUACAGUCAGGGCUUUCCUAGAUCUAAAAUUCAUGAAGUUUGAAGGAGAAUUAAAGGAUUUGAGGCUUUGAUUCAUGGAGAGGGGGUUUAUAGGAAGAGAUUUUAAACUUUUGGGGUGUUUUGGACUCCGGUGAACGGCGACGGGCGGUGGUUUCGCCAUGGAGAGGGGCGGUGGCUGAGAGAGAAUGGAGAUAGAGAUAGAGGGGGCUAGGGUUUUAUAAUAUGUUUAAAUAAGGAAAAAAAUCUAAUCUUAGGAAUUUUCAAUGUUCCAUGAGUGAUCAAGUGACGACCAUUAGAUCAAACGGAAUGAAUGGAUGAGAUUUAAUCUUGAUUCACUUAAAUGAAAUGAUAUACUUUUGGCCUAAUACUACACCGAUU
rnacentral:lncRNA from 1 species